CAAAAACCAAUCAGGCCGGAUCAGCCAGGCGUUGAUUCUCCCUCCGUCCCUCCUACACCUUUUCCAGAGGCCCAAUGGCCUUGUCCCUUUGGGAGAUUGACUAGAGUCACAUGAGCUGCACCAAGGGCAGGUAACUCAGGAGAGGGGAAGGGGAAGAGGGAAGGAAAAAAAAAGAGAGAGAGAGAGAGAGGAAAAAAAAAAACCCAAGCCCAGACUGAGCUUCUGCCAUGAUGUCAGAGGGAAAGAAAGCCACAGCUUGCUAAUUUCACCUCCCAAUCGGCCCCGGGAAGGAGAUCACCGGGAACAGUUGUUUCCCCCUGUGGUCAUGACGGCUUCGCACAGUGACUCUUUGGUGGUGUUGUUUGGGGCAACAGCUGGUGCAUAUGGGGCUAAACUGGGUUCGGAUGAGAGGGAACUAAUUCUCUUGGUGUGGCAAGUUGUGGAUCUACAGAACAAGAAGGUAGGGACACUACACAAAUCCCUGGUGAAAGCAGACAACUUGGACUUAAGUGACCAGUGUCGCGAAGUCAGUGGCUUAACACCAGAGGGACUGGGCAAAGCUGAACCACUGGACCGGGUUCUUCAACAGUUUAGUCAGCUGGUAUCCAGUGAUUUGAAAGUACUUGGAAGGAGCUCUUACACACUCUGCAGUGAUGGCCAGUUACUCAUCCGACAAGUUCUCCACCCGGAAACAUCCAAGAAGAACUUCUUGUUGUCAGACUGCUUCUAUUCCUUUUAUGAUCUGCGCAAAGAAUUCCACACUUGCUACCCUAGUUCAGCCGCCGUGAAAGAUCAGACUAUCAAGACCAUGGCAGAAUAUCUAGGCUUAGGGACAGAUGAAGCAGAGGAGGACUUUGGCGUGUGGCAAGUGAAGACCAUGGUGGCUAUCAUUUUCAGCAUGCUUUCAGAAGGUUGUAAUCACGUAUUUACUGAGCCUGAAACUGUGAAACACAAGUAUGAAACAGGUCCUUGUAGUAAAUCUGAAACUGUGGACAGUGAGACAGUAAUACGUGCCAGAGGUUUGCCAUGGCAGUCUUCAGACCAGGAUAUCGCUCGAUUUUUCAAAGGACUCAACAUUGCCAAAGGUGGUGUGGCUCUUUGCCUGAAUUCCCAAGGAAGAAGAAAUGGGGAGGCUUUGGUUCGGUUUGUCAAUUCUGAACAGAGAGACCUUGCCCUGGAAAGGCACAAGCAUCACAUGGGUAGCAGAUACAUUGAGGUUUACAAGGCAACUGGGGAAGAAUUCUUAAAAAUUGCAGGAGGCACCUCCAAUGAAGUGGCCCAGUUCUUAUCCAAGGAGAAUCAAGUUAUCAUCAGGAUGAGAGGCCUUCCAUUCACUGCUACCCAGGAAGAUGUCUUGGGGUUCCUUGGGCCAGAGUGCCCAGUCACAGGAGGGAAAGAGGGACUUCUCUUUGUCAAGUACCCAGAUGGCAGACCCACAGGAGAUGCAUUUGUGUUAUUUUCCUGUGAAGAAUAUGCACAGAAUGCACUUAAAAAGCACAAAGAAAUACUUGGAAAACGUUACAUUGAACUCUUCAGGAGCACGGCAGCAGAGGUCCAACAGGUACUUAAUAGAUACAUGUCAACUCCUCUUAUUCCAACUCUUCCAACUCCCAUCAUUCCGGUCAUCCCCCCACCGUACACCAUUGCCACGGGCAGCGUCCGCGACUGCGUGCGGCUCAGGGGUCUUCCCUACACUGCUGGCAUUGAUGACAUCUUGGAAUUUAUGGGAGAUGCCACGGGGGAUAUCAAGCCCCAUGGAGUUCACAUGGUCCUUAAUCAGCAGGGACGGCCGUCAGGUGAUGCUUUUAUUCAAAUGAAAUCUGCUGACAAAGCCUUUAUGGUGGCUCAAAAAUGUCACAAAAAAAUGAUGAAGGACCGUUAUGUGGAAGUAUUCCAGUGUUCUGGAGAGGAGAUGAACUUUGUUUUAAUGGGUGGCACUUUAAAUCGUAGUGGCUUAUCCCCACCGCCAUGUAAGUUACCAUGUCUUUCUCCACCAGCUUAUGCUGCUUUCCAAACAGCAGCUGUGAUCCCAGCAGAGGCAGCAGCCCUUUACCAGCCACAAGCCCUCCUGCCAUCCACCAGGACGCCCCAGGCCUCUGCAGCUGCUCCUCCCACUGUUACCUACUACCCAGCUCAGGCUGCUCAGCUUUACAUGAACUACACAGCUUACUAUCCCAGCCCUCCAGUAUCUCCUACCACGGUGGGAUACAUUGCAGCUCCCCCAGGAGCUGUGGCAGCUGCUGCCACUGCCACCCACACUCCCAUCCUGCCCCAGCCUGGAGCCUUGGUCCGGAUGCAGGGCUUGCCAUAUAACACAGGAAUGAAGGAGAUACUCAGUUUCUUCCAGGGGUACCAGGAUUUAUUGCACGAUGCUUCUGCUCGUUCAUAAAUAUGCACCUGAUGACUACAAUGGCCUAAUUCAGCUGAGCGAUCAAGCCAGGAGUGUGUUACAAGCACCGAAAGAGUGGGUCUGUUUGUAACUUUGUAACUUCUGAAGAAGCUCCAAGCAGAUUCCAUCCUCAUGCUUUACAAUUUUAGUGGGCAGCCCAGUGGCGAGGCGUUGGUGACUUUUCCAAGCCUGGAUCUAGCUAAGCAAGCAGUGGCUGAGAGAAACGGACAGCUCCUGGGCAGCCGCUGUGUACAACUGUACCUGGUCUAACUGAACACUCUGGAGGAUGAGGAAAGGAUGCUGCACUCAACACCGUGCCUUCUGCAAAAUAAGAAGUCUUCCCUUGCCACCCAGGCAGCAACAAAUGUGCCUUUUCAGCAUAACACAUUGGAAUGCAGCCUGGUACAUGUUCCUUUUUAAUUUGAAAGAUGGCAUCUCCUAUGCCAAAGAUAAAGUGAAACCAAAAAUUGUGCAGUUAAUUUACUUAAUUCCUAAGGUACCUGUGUAAAAAGAAGCAAAGCUGCUUCUGGCAUGCAGUUAAUUCUGAAGACAGUCCAGUAUCACUUCAGCUACCACAGCCAUGGGCAAAACUUACUCAGUAGCAUUUGAAGUGGAAAACGAUGCUUGAGUCAUUCAGAUUCUUCUGUGUUUAGUUUUUAAGUGUUUACACUUGACAAAGUGUCUCGUUCUUGUAGAGUUUAAAUGUCUUUAGAAAGGUCUUUUGAAAUGCAUGGCUUACCCAGUUCAAAGCGUAGAUCAUAUUGAUUUUUGUUUUGUUCUUGACUGGAAAAUAUCAGGAUGCUGGAUCUGGAACCAAUUGUGUUUUUUCAUGUUUUCAUUAGAUAUUGUUUUGCAAAAGCCAUAUUUGACCUUCUUACCGGUAUACUGCAGCCAAUGUGUAAAGAGCAAAAAAAUAAAAUCAACAGCAAAACCAGAAAAACCCUCUCUUCCCACCCUGCCCCAACCCCAUAUUUUUAAUCUCUACAGGACAAAAAUGGCACAUAAACCUGAGUACUAAUAAGUUAUAUUUUUUUAUUUAAGCAUAAUAGCUUUCAGAUACUGUAUUAAAGAUUUUUGCUCUAGUUUAUGUGCAUGCAAUUUGUUUACAUCUUUAAACUACUUUAUUUGUAUAUUAUGAAACAGCAAAAUAUGUUGAAAUCUGAAUUCUCUAGUGCAUGCUUUUUUCUUUUUCCCCUGUGUGCAUAUACAUAAGCUAGAAGAACUUUUACGUCAUGUAGCACGUGUUUAAAAAAAGACAUCUGCUGUAGAAGCACUAAAUGACUUUGUUUUUACUGUGCCUUACUUCUAAAUCAUUCCAAGUGCAAUACCAGCAGAGCAAAAUGUAAUGAAUUCUGUUGUUGACAUGUUCAUGGAUGUCUGAAUUGAUCUUUUUUUGUUAGUGUACAAUUUGAGUUAUACUUUAAAGAACUGAAUGAUGUAUGCUUCUUUAUAUUACAAUAAAAGAGAUGCUUACAAUGUG